rnacentral:rRNA from 1 species
AGGACUAACGCUGGCGGCGUGCCUAACACAUGCAAGUCGAACGAGGUAGCAAUACCUAGUGGCAGACGGGUGAGUAACGCGUGGUCAACCUACCUCUUAGUGGGGGAUAACUAGCCGAAAGGUUAGCUAAUACCGCAUACGAUCGUCGCGAGGCAUCUCGUGACGAUGAAAGGAGCAAUUCGCUAAGAGAGGGGACUGCGUCCCAUUAGUUAGUUGGUGGGGUAAUGGCCCACCAAGACUCCGAUGGGUAGCUGGCUUGAGAGAGCGACCAGCCACACUGGAACUGAGACACGGUCCAGACUCCUACGGGAGGCAGCAGUGAGGAAUUUUUCCGCAAUGGGCGCAAGCCUGACGGAGCGACGCCGCGUGUGGGAAGAAGGCCUUCGGGUCGUAAACCACUGUCGAAGGGGACGAUAUUGACGGUACCCUUGGAGGAAGCCCCGGCUAACUACGCGCCAGCAGCCGC